UACGGGGGGGGCAAGCGUUGUUCGGAAUUACUGGGCGUAAAGGGCUCGUAGGCGGCCAACUAAGUCAGACGUGAAAUCCCUCGGCUUAACCGGGGAACUGCGUCUGAUACUGGAUGGCUUGAGUUUGGGAGAGGGAUGCGGAAUUCCAGGUGUAGCGGUGAAAUGCGUAGAUAUCUGGAGGAACACCGGUGGCGAAGGCGGCAUUCUGGACCGAUAUUGACGCUGAGGAGCGAAAGCCAGGGGAGCAAACGGG
rnacentral:rRNA from 1 species